GACGAACGCUGGCGGCGUGCUUAACACAUGCAAGUCGAGCGAGGCCCACCUUUCGGGGUGGUGUCCUAGCGGCGAACGGGUGAGUAACACGUGGGCAACCUGCCCCCGGCCCGGGGAUAACUCCAAGAAAUUGGGGCGAACACCGGAGCUGACCGCUGACCGCCAGGGCUGGUGGGGGACAGAUUUAUCGGCGGGGGAUGGGCCCGCGGCCUAUCAGCGUGGUGGUGGGGUCGUGGCCUACCAAGGCGACGACGGGUAGACGGCCUGAGAGGGUGACCGGCCACACUGGGACUGAGACACGGCCCAGACUCCUACGGGAGGCAGCAGUGGGGAAUAUUGCGCAAUGGGCGGAAGCCUGACGCAGCGACGCCGCGUGGGGGAUGACGGCCUUCGGGUUGUAAACCUCUUUCAGCAGGGACGAAGCGGAAGUGACGGUACCUGCAGAAGAAGCACCGGCCAACUACGUGCCAGCCGCCGCAGUAA
rnacentral:rRNA from 1 species